GAAAUAUUGGUUACCCACUUUCAGUGCGAAAUAGACCUUGUUCAGUUAAAAAGUAAUUCCCGGGUGCACAUCAGAAUGUAACUAACUGUCCAGCUGUCCCCAGUGAGCAUGUAAAUCUCUUUAAAUUAAGAUGGCAUGUAAUUAAAUUAUUCAGCCGUGGACAGGCUUCUCCACGCAGGUAGUUUACUUUCCCUUAAAGUAACCUCUUUGCCUCUGAGGAGUCCCACACCCAGAAGUGACUCAACUGUGUAACACCACUAGUAAAAUCCCUAGCACUUGACAAGCAAUAGGCUUGGACAUAAAACAUCAGUCACUCUACAGUGAGUCACAUGAAAUCUGUGAGCGUUGCGGGGAGGCUUCCAGGGAAAGGCAGCGGGGGGCGGCGGGCUGCUCCAGCUCCCCGUGCAGGAGCGCACCGGCCCGGCCUGUCCAUCGUCUCCAUCCUCCCCAUCUGGCCAAGCCGCCUCCUGAGGGGUGUGGGCAAGACUUCAGGAACAGCGUGUAGCACCCCAACUGGCCUAGGCUCCCCAUCUUCCCCCGCACGCCUAAGUUUAGCCCCUCGGACGCUUCCGAAGGUCUGAACCGGACGAGCCCGUCUUUCGGGACGCGAAUCUGGGGCUUUAUCGUGGCUCCACGGGUUGGCCGGACCCGCCAGGGCCUCGCGCCGUCCUUCGGGCCCGGAACAAACAGCCGAUGACCCCGGGAGGCCGGGUCACCUUCGCCCUCGCCUCUGCCCCGCACCUCGCACCCCUCUCCCCUGCGCGGGGCAGGUAUCCACGGGCCGGGGGGAAACCUGCUGGAGCUCGGCCACCGCGAUGCGGGCGGCCUAGGACGGCCUCGCGCCGCCCUCGGCUUAUUUAUCCGCCCGGCACAGUUUCCAUGGCUCCGCGGCCGUCCUCCGUCCCCUUCCUCGCGCAGAGCCGGGCAGCAGGCGCGGACCGAGCCCGCCCGGUGGGGACUCCGGGUGGGGGCCGCGCGUCGUCUCCAAGCCCCCCGGCGCGUGCAGCCGCACCCCCCAUCCUGCCCCCGGGCCUCCUCUGCAGCCCCUCCCGCACGCCGGUCUGUGGCCCGCGGGACCCGGAGCCGGGCCCCCAGGCGCAGCGCAGCCCCCGGCCUGCCCGGGGCGGGGGAGGGGCGCGGCGCAGGCAAAGUUGCUUUGCUCGCGCAGAACUUGCAGCUGAGACGGCGGCUUCCCGCCCCCUUCCUGCCCUCGGCGGCUCGGAACACACACCCACCCGUCACCACCCGCUACCUGCCGGCGCCCCUUUGGCCGCGGCCAGGACUCGGCAGCAUCCCCUCCCGGUGCCCAUGAGGAGCCCAGGUUGCCAGCGUUGUCGGGCUGGGGGCGGGCGCACCUCACCUCCCCGCGCCGCCAAGGGGACCGGGCGAGACACCACCACCACCACCACCACCCCUUUGCCCGCGAGGCGGCCGCGCCAGCCUUGGAAAGCCAGUCUUGCUGUUGUGGUUCCCCAGCAUUAUCGGUGGACGGUUACCAGGGAUCCCGGGGGAUGUGUUUCCCUGUGACCCUUUGGGAAGAAAAACUCCGUUGCCUCAGUAACCGAGUUUGGCUUGGCUGCAGUGAUGCAGUGAGUGUUCUAGUGGACCUUAGCUACAGCAUGAAGGACAGCAGCUUCGGGAGCAAGGCCCAAAAGAGCCAUGCAGCCCCAGACUCCGAAGAAAUGUGCAACUGCUGAAGUUUUAUUCUGAAGCAGAAAGGGGUAUGUUAUCCUCUAAAGAGAUCUGUAGAGUUAUCUGAAAAGCUGACUUAGGAAUUCAUGUAGAUUUCUGUUUCCAAGGCAACCCUAGAUAAAAAAAUCCAAAUUGAGACUUUGCGUUAAAGAGUGUAUAUUCAUAGAAAGCAAAAACUGGCAAGUUGGAUUUUUGUAAAUGGAAUCAUACUCUAAAUACAUAAA